CCCUUAGAUGUUCUGGGCUGCACGCGCGCUACACUGAUGCGCUCAACGAGUUUUAACCUUGCCUGGAAAGGUUGGGUAAUCUUUUUAAAACGCAUCGUGGUGGGGAUAGAUUAUUGCAAUUAUUAAUCUUCAACGAGGAAUUCCUAGUAAGCGCGAGUCAUCAGCUCGUGCUGAUUACGUCCCUGCCCUUUGUACACACCGCCCGUCGCUCCUACCGAUUGAGCGAUCCGGUGAAUAAUUCGGACUGCGGCAUUGACCGGUUCCCGAUCGUUGCUGCGGAAAGUUUAGUGAACCUUAUCACUUAGAGGAAGGAGAAGUCGUAACA
rnacentral:rRNA from 1 species